rnacentral:lncRNA from 1 species
CUGUGACUAUAUAUAUUUUCACUUCAGCCAUACACUAAAUUGGGCAUUAGGUUUGGGUUUUUAAAUAUUUGAUACUUAAAAAUUAAUAAAAAUUGGUGAAUAUUAAAUAUUUAAUGUAUAUAAGUAUAUAGAAUAAUACAAUUGUAUACACAGAAUAGUGGCCCCCAAAGACAUCAGUGGCCUAAUCCUCAGAACCUUUAGUUACAUGGCAAGUGGAAUAAAGGUUGCUGAUUAGCUGAUUUAAUCUAGAAGGAGUAUCCUGGAUUAUCUGUGUAGGCCCAGUGGAAUCACAAGGGUUCUUGAAAGUGGAAGAGGAAGACAGAAGAGCGAGAAGGAGAUGUGGUAAUGGAAGGUCUGAGAGGUGCUAUGUUGAUGGCUUGUAGAUGGAAGAGGGCCAUGAGCCAAGGAAUGUGGGCAGCGUCUAGAAGCUGGAAAAGGCAAGGAAAUGGACUCCCUCCUGGAUCUCCCAAAGAGGGACACAGCCCUGCCAACAUCUCAACUUUAGCCCAAUAAGACCUGGCUCAGACUUCUGUCCAGAACUUUAUUAAAGUGCUUGUGGCUCAUUCUCAA